GCGGGUGUAAUUCAGCGGUAGAAUGUUUCCUUGCCAAGGAAAAUGUCAUGAGUUCGAAUCUCAUCACCCGCU
rnacentral:tRNA from 1 species